rnacentral:lncRNA from 1 species
AUGAUAUUUUGUCCAUAUCGCCCAGCCCUACCGAAAACACACGCAGAAAACACACACACACACACACAAACUCACUCCUCGCUCUGCAUCCUAAAGCAGGUAAACAUAUAUGAGGAAUAUUCAGAUCUGGAGAGGGGAGAUAGAAGGGGAAGACAGGAGAGGAGAGAGGAGAGAGAGGGGAGAGAGAAGGGGAAGAGAGGAGAGAGAGGGGAGAGAGAAGGGGAAGACAGGAGAGGAGAGAGAGGGGAAAGAGAAGGAGAAGAGAGGAGAGAGAGAAGGGGAAGACAGGAGAGGAGAGAGGGGAGAGAGAAGGGGAAGACAGGAGAGGAGAGAGAGGGGAGAGAGAAGGGGAAGAGAGGAGAGGAGAGAGAGGGGAGAGAGAAGGGGAAGACAGGAGAGGAGAGAGAGGGGAGAGAGAAGGGGAAGACAGGAGAGGAGAGAGAGAGGGGAGAGAGAAGGGAAAGAGAGGAGAGGAGAGAGAGGGAAGACAGGAGAGGAGAGAGAGGGGAGAGAGAAGGGGAAGACAGGAGAGGAGAGAGAGGGGAGAGAGAAGGGGAAGACAGGAGAGGAGAGAGAGGGGAGAGUGAAGGGGAAGACAGGAGAGGAGAGAGAGGGGAGAGAGAAGGGGAAGACAGGAGAGGAGAGAGAGGGGAGAGAGAAGGGGAAGACAGGAGAGGAGAGAGAGGAGAGGGGAGAGAGCACAAAGGGGAAGAGAGGAGAGGAGAGAGAGGGGAGAGAGAAGGGGAAGACAGGAGAGGAGAGGAGAGAGAGGGGAGAGAGAAGGGGAAGAGAGGAGAGGGGAGAGAGCACAAAGGGGAAGAGGGAAGGGGAAGAGAGGAGAGGGGAGAGAGCACAAAGGGGAAGAGGGAAGGGGAAGAGAGGAGAGGAGAGAGAGGGGAGAGAGAAGGGGAAGAGAGGAGAGGGGAGAGAGCACAAAGGGGAAGAGGGAAGGGGAAGAGAGGAGAGAGAGGGAAGAGGGAAGGGGAAGAGAGGAGAGCACGAAGGCCUGAUUCCCCAGUGACUCCAGUCGAUUUCCACCGCGACCGUGUCCAAAAUGGAAAAGCCAAUUCCAAUUGUUCCACUGUUAAUUAG